GAAGAGCCCAAACCAAUAAGCUUGCUUAUUGGGGUUGUAGGACACUCUGUACGGAGUUACAAAAGAAUUUGUUAGACGAAUAACCUGGAAAGGUUAAUCAUAGAAGGUAAUAAUCCUGUAGUCGAAAACGAAUUCUCUCUUGAGUGGAUCCUGAGUACGACGGAGCACGUGAAAUUCCGUCGGAAUCUGGGAGGACCAUCUCCUAAGGCUAAAUACUCUCUAGUGACCGAUAGUGAACCAGUACCGUGAGGGAAA
rnacentral:rRNA from 1 species